CAGUGGACCUGCCGGCCCGGACCUGCCUGCCCUCAGCGCGCGCCGGGGUCGCCGCUCAGACGCGUGACAGACAGAAAGCUGGGGUUGAGAUGACGGUCCCACGCCCGAGAGCGCCAGGAAAGAGCGUGGGCUGGGACACCACAGAACCUGCAGCAGGAAGGAAAGCGGGGGCCAUAAUCUGCCUGGUAACUGGUGACGUCACCAAUCCCAGACCACCUUCAAUCUACCUGGCAACCAGUGAUGUCAUCAUUCCCGACCGGCAUCAUGUCACCCAGGUUGAGCGCAGCACUGUGAAGCUGUCCGCAGCCUCUCCAGCAUGGGUUUGAUUCCCGGCCGGCCAAGGAGCUGACCCACAUGGCGCAGCAGACCUCGCAGACCUCUCCUGUCUCCCCGUUUCUCCCCUCAGCAGUGUAUUUCAUCAGUCUGCCUGUUCUGCUCCCUGCUCUGUUUCUGGUGAAUCCUCUCACCCUCCUGUGCUUCUGACCUGUACCCCAGUUCUUGUAUAA